rnacentral:rRNA from 1 species
GUGCCAGCAGCGGCGGUAAUACGGAGGGGGCUAGCGUUGUUCGGAAUUACUGGGCGUAAAGCGCGCGUAGGCGGACCAUCAAGUUGGGGGUGAAAUCCCGGGGCUCAACCCCGGAACUGCCUCCAAAACUGCUGGUCUUGAGGUCGAGAGAGGUGAGUGGAAUUCCGAGUGUAGAGGUGAAAUUCGUAGAUAUUCGGAGGAACACCAGUGGCGAAGGCGGCUCACUGGCUCGAUACUGACGCUGAGGUGCGAAAGCGUGGGAGCAAACAGGAUUAGAUACCCUGGUAGUCCACGCCGUAAACGAUGAAUGCCAGACGUCGCAGGCAUGCCUGUCGGUGUCACACCUACGGAUUAAGCAUUCCGCC